GGAUGCCGCUGCUCUGACUGCCUGCCGAUCAAGAUUUUAUUUAAAUGGAACUCAUCAACGCUCAUUUGGCAAUCUCCAUCCAUGAUGGCGAUGAUGAAGCUCUGCUGUGGCAUCGAUUCCAGCCUUUUUUCCCCUUUAUUUGAAUAAAUUAAAUAUAUGGAAGGGUAUUCUAAAUAGAAUGUACACUAACCGAGGGAUAGAAAUAAAAUAUAAAAAAAUGUA